rnacentral:rRNA from 1 species
GGGGAAUAUUGCACAAUGGGGGAAACCCUGAUGCAGCAACGCCGCGUGAGUGAUGAAGGCCUUCGGGUUGUAAAGCUCUGUCUUCAGGGACGAUAAUGACGGUACCUGAGGAGGAAGCCACGGCUAACUACGUGCCAGCAGCCGCAGUAAUACGUAGGUGGCGAGCGUUAUCCGGAUUUACUGGGCGUAAAGGAUGCGUAGGUGGAAUUUUAAGUGGGAUGUGAAAUACCCGGGCUCAACCUGGGAACUGCAUUCCAAACUGGAAUUCUAGAGUGCAGGAGAGGAAAGCGGAAUUCCUAGUGUAGCGGUGAAAUGCGUAGAGAUUAGGAAGAACACCAGUGGCGAAGGCGGCUUUCUGGACUGUAACUGACACUGAGGCAUGAAAGCGUGGGGAGCAAAC